rnacentral:tRNA from 1 species
UCCCGUGUGGCUCAGUUGGUAGAGCAUGGUGUUUACAACGCCAGGGUUGUGGAUUCGAUUCCCACGGGGGAU